AAUCACCCCUUCAACACCUAGGACGCGUACUCCAUUGCGUCUAUCUCCUCCUCCACAAUUCUGCACAGCCACAGCUCUGUUUCGUCGAAAUCACAGCUGCGCAGCUUUCCACAGCCUGAAGAAGCUCCCCCCCACUUCGUCUUCUCCAGCUGCUUCCUCCAUCUCGUUCUCUUUAUGCCAGUUUUGGUUUCUAAGAGUUUGAGGAGAAACUAAGGAGAUGAGAAUUGAACUU